GAUGAAGAACGUAGCGAAAUGCGAUAAGUAAUGUGAAUUGCAGAAUUCAGUGAAUCAUCGAAUCUUUGAACGCACAUUGCGCCCGCCAGUAUUCUGGCGGGCAUGCCUGUUCGAGCGUCAUUACAACCCUCAGGCCCCCGGGCCUAGCGUUGGGGAUCGGCGGAGCCCCCCGUGGGCACACGCCGUCCCCCAAAUACAGUGGCGGUCCCGCCGCAGCUUCCAUCGCGUAGUAGCUAACACCUCGCGACUGGAGAGCGGCGCGGCCACGCCGUAAAACACCCAACUCUUCUGAAGUUGACCUCGAAUCAGGUAGGAAUACCCGCUGAACUUAAGCAUAUCAAUAAGCGGAGGA
rnacentral:misc_RNA from 1 species